GGGCACAUGGUGUAGUUGGUUUAUCACAUCCGCUUAGCAUGCGGGGGGUGCCCGGUUCAAUUCCGGGUGUGUCCA